AUUGAACGCUGGCGGCAGGCCUAACACAUGCAAGUCGAACGAGUGGCGGACGGGUGAGUAAUGUCUGGGAACCUGCCCGAUGGAGGGGGAUAACUACUGGAAACGGUAGCUAAUACCGCAUACCAUCGGAUCUGCCCAGAUGGGAUUAGCUAGUAGGUGGGGUAACGGCUCACCUAGGCGACGAGCCCUAGCUGGUCUGAGAGGAUGACCAGCCAAACUGGAACUGAGACACGGUCCAGACUCCUACGGGAGGCAGCAGUGGGGAAUAUUGGACAAUGGGCGAAAGCCUGAUGCAGCCAUGCCGCGUGUAUGAAGAAGGCCUUCGGGUUGUAAAGUACUUUCGGCGAGGAGGCGUUACUCGCAGAAUAAGCACCGGCUAACUACGUGCCAGCAGCCGCGGUAAUAC
rnacentral:rRNA from 1 species